GAGCAAGCGUUGUUCGGAUUUACUGGGCGUAAAGGGCGCGUAGGCGGCGCGGUAAGUCACUUGUGAAAUCUCUGAGCUUAACUCAGAACGGCCAAGUGAUACUGCAGUGCUAGAGUGCAGAAAGGGCAGUCGGAAUUCUUGGUGUAGCGGUGAAAUGCGUAGAUAUCAAGAGGAACACCUGAGGCGAAGGCGGGUUGCUAGGCUGACACUGACGCUGAGGCGCGAAAGCCAGGGGAGCAAACGGG
rnacentral:rRNA from 1 species